ACUUAUACCCGAUAUGUCAAUGGAGCUUAAUUAUGUCUCCAAUCAACAUUAUGAACCUUGUUGAAUUUCUGUUAAGAAACAUUUACAUAAUAGGACACAUUUACACUUAUUAAUUACACCAUGGGUCACUUUGUUCUACCAACACACUUUUUCAUAACUCUUUGUUCAAUUUCGUUAUUUUUUCUAACUAAAACAAAACCAUGUGGUGGUCCCCAUUUACUUCCUUAUUCUUCUCUUCUUCUUUAUCAUUUAAAAGACAACGUAUUUCCAUUUUUCACUUUAUAUUUCUCUCUCUUCAUCUAUAUUAUUUUUUAGUCGCCUAAAACCAGAACCAAAGUGAAUCUUCUAUAGCUGCCUCCAAUUACCGAGUUGACUCAAUUAAAAGAAAUCAAAUUAAUGCAGAUAGGAAACGAAUGGUCGAUUGUGAGGAAACAGAUUAUUUGUAUUUUAAAAUUUAAUUUCAACUCUCUCCUCUCUCAUAUCUCAUUCUCCAGAUUCAAAUUGAGAAAGCAUAGAUAAAUUCUUGAUUACGGAGAAGAAUGAAGGAAGGAAGAUGAGCUGUGUUCAGUCCAAAAAAAAAAGAAGCUGCUACUCGAUGCAAAUGUUACGGCUCAUAACACUUUGGCCCCCGUGUAUUCUCGUUGUUCACAGUCCCAUCGGCGAAUCCAAAUUACAGUGGUGACUCAGUCCUAGUGAUUUGAAUCCAAAUUUCAAAAUUUUCGUUUCAGCAAGAAUGGAAUCUGAUGGACAUGAAUUCAGUAGCUGCUUUAUUCGUCGCUACUGUCGUCAUAUUUGUUUUCCUCCUCUGCUUAGUCGCCACAAUCCAUGUCUCCUUCAUAUGGGGAAUCGUCUCGAGUCGACUCGGUAGAAUUUUCAUGCUUUGAACCAACAAAAGCUUUCUUCCUUUUGUAUGACCUUGAGAUUUUAGAGAUAAAAAUGUUUUUUGACUUGUGUAAAUCAUCAAAGUUGCAAGUGUGUGUUGAGAAUUAUCAGGUGUGUACAAGUGAACUGAUGUUCAUGUGGACAGUGACAUCUCUGGAUCUCAUAUCGAGUUAGAAUUGUUUGUAUCUCUUGUACGGUUUUGUUGGAGGGGUUGUGAGAUUUCAUUACAUGUAGAAGAUAAGAUUCCUAUCUCCUGUUCCAAGUCUACAGACUAGCUCAUGUAGGCUACCCAUCAAGUGUUACUGAUCAAUGUGUACAUCAGACUCAUUGUACAUGUGUACUUAAUUUUAAUGUGUCAUCUUUGUAUCUUUGAAUUACAAAAUUAUAUACAUGUUGAUUUAAUUUAUUAAUCUUUUUGUGUUUGUUUUCACAACAUUCGUUUAUAAAAGCUUAUGCAUUUUAGUGAUGUAGUGGAUAUUUAUAAAUGAAUGAUGUACAUAUGGAUAUCAUAUAAAGGUUGUCUACACAUGGAUAUCUUAUAAAAUUGAUGUGCACAUCAUAAAAGUGGUGUACACAUGGAUAUCAUAUAAGUUGAUGUACACAUAAACAUCAUAUGAAGUGUACAUGUUCUAAAAAUCUUACAAAAUAUCAGAUAAAUCCAUAAAUUGAUUCUGAAACAAGAUGAUUCUUAAACAAAAAGAUAGUUCAUUGUAUCUGAAAAUGAAAAUUUGAUCAUAUGUUUAUGAUCAUGAUCAACCCAAAUUCUGAAAAUCUUAUGUUUAUAAAUCACAACCCAAUGAAUCUGAUUACAAAAAUGAUCAGACCUAAAUCCACUUGUAAACUAUAAUACUUUUGGGAUUAACAAAAGAAAACC